CUUAGAGACUGGCAGAUGAGUCAUACAUGAUAAAUAAAUGUAAGACAAAGACUACAAUCAGUACCAUAAAAAAGUAUAUCAUAGACAUGUUUGAUCCGAGACGGAAGGUUCCAGAGUAAGUGACAACUAAGCAGAGAUCUUAAAGAUGUGGGAACACCUACAUGUCUAUGUUCAGAAGCUGCCUUGAUGCCACAUGCGGGAGGCUGGAAACGCUGAAGGAUGACCACUGCUCAGCAGCAGUCUACCAGUGAUGGAUGAGAGUUGGUGCACAAAUACCCCAGCUCCCUUGCCUCUCAGUUUGGAUAAUCCUGAAAAGGUGUGUACUAUGCUAUUUCUGAGAUUAAGCCCUAGUUACCCAUAGUGGUAGCUAAAUAUAGUAGUUGGCUGUAUUCUCCAUCACUUCUUGAAUCCCCUGCCAGUGUUCUCUG
rnacentral:lncRNA from 10 species